CCUCCAAACAGCCGAAAACCGGACAGGCUAUAAAAAGAGCAGUUGCCCAGUUGGAGGAAUUAAAGUUGUAUUGUGCUACUAAACCUAGGAAAAAGAAACACGAAACCAGUUUGGCUGAAGUGAGAGUGAUCUGCCUUGGGCAUCUUGCUAUGCUAAACAAGUGGACUGGUGUGUGAUCCAUAACCAGGACAAGAGCUAGGGGGUGGUGAUGGUGUAACCUCACUGUUUUCUGGUGUCUUCAGCUACUCUCCUCAUACUCUGUCACACAUCAGAAUCAGAAAUUAUGUAGAAAUUAUGUCCUAGCUACAGGAUUUUUGAUUCUGCUCUGUGACAUUGUUGCAGGAAAAUAUCUAACGGAAGUGAGGAUUUAAUCCAGAGAAAUAAUCCAUUGAUAUAGUGGAAGUUUUCCUGGUCAACUUUGAACCAAGCUGUUAAUUAAAUUCUCCCCUGAAGCUGGGAGUGAUUAGAAGUCUGUGAUGUCAGCCUGUGUAUGAGCAAGCUUGUUAGUUUCUGAUUACUCUACACUUGGAGGAAACCUACAGUUAUUUUUUUCUGUUACAAUCUUGUAGUCCUUUUCUCAUCUAUGCAAACAGUUUUGUGAACUUUGAGAAUAAUCCUCUGUGUGUUAAAAUGUAUUUGCUGAUGAAAUGUUAAAUCAAACGGCAGCUUGAAUAUUUCUAAAGGUCAGAGUUACUGAAGCAAAAUACGCACUGCAUACUCUUUUGACUGUCUUUUUUUCUCUUUCUUUUUCUUUUUUUUUCUUUUUUUUUGUAAAUUUAAAUGGAAUCUUGUGGUGUAUACACAAUGCUGCCUGCAAAAUUUGUAAGGAAAAUAUAAUUUUGUCCUACAGGAAUUAGCAAGCAUGAUGAUGUUUGCAUCUUCCAUUUACAACUCAUAGAUGUUCAAGAAGAAAACUUGAAAAAUCAUAAAAAUAUUUCCUUAGGAAAAGCCAAGACAAUUAUUAAUUCACAUUUUCAGUAUUUUCUUCAUCACUGUGUGGUUCCAGGAGCAUGUCUGGGUGAAGUGCUUCAGUGGCUCAAAUGAAAGAUGAGGUUUGGGAACUGCAAUUCUGCAACCGGGGCUGAAUGAUGCAGCAGCUGCUGCAGCUGAGGGAUUGCUGCUCAUGAGGCUCAAAUGAAUUCCUCUGGCUGCUGCAGCAAUAAAGCUUAUUAAACAUACCAGGUUAGACAAGGAGAAAUGUUCUGCAGACAUGCUUUAUUAUCUUGGAGUUGGACUGUGAUUGACCUUGUGAGUCCUUUCCAACUCAGAAUAUUCUAUGAUAUUCUAUGAUAUUUAAUUAGGAUGAUUCUGGGCUUAGUUACACCUGGAUGCCUGGCUAUAGUUAAUAUCUUGAAUCCAAUAUUAAUGAUUCUCUUCUGGUUGUAGGUGUAAAUGUUUGGAACAUUUACAAAAGUUCUGAGUAAAACAGCAAGCCAGUAGAAUUGCAUGGGAUUUGGCACUGGUGCUUUUGGAUAUACUGUGUUCUUGUGCAUUCAGGACAGAGAAUUGCACACUCAAAAGUAAAAAGUGACUCAGUAAUAACAUCGGAGGUGUAGAUGUCUUAAGGAUCUGCUCCAGGUGACAGACAAAAUGCCUGAGAGAGGACCAGAGAAUUUAAAGUCUUUAUCUUGGCUGCUUAUUCAGGCAGAUAUUCAGCCUUUCAGCAUGGAGGCACUGAAGCUGCUUCUCCCUGCUGGAGUCCAGGUGUCCUCAGAGUUUUGGUUCAUAGGUUCACCAUGGUCACAUAAGAAACAGGAAUGGUUAUUUAUUCUAUUCAAUCUCUGUUAUCUCCUCCCUUAUUAAUUUUAAGACUGACUUCCUCCAUUCAUCCAUUCUGUGCACAUUAUAUCACACAGAAUUUUUUCUUCUUCUUCUUUUGCCUUAUUUGCUAAUAUAAGGGAAAGAUGAUGGUAUAAUUAUUUCUGUCAAGGUAAUUAUUUUAAAACUUAAUUUCAUAAGAAGCACUUAUUAAAUUUUUCAACUGCAGCGGAUGAAAUUAAAGAUCUAAUCCUUCCUGUAUUCAGGAGGGAGAGGAUUACUCUAAUUUGCAUAAGUUUACAUUAAAAUAACAACAACAAAAAAGGACAAAAAUUGCAAUUCAAUGUAGACUAAUAUUUGAAAAGCAUUAUUUUUUUUCUUAGAAGGAUGAAUUUGGCUGACUGUGAUAUUCUCUUUUUCUUCUUCACUCCCAUUGCAAGACGUGCUCAGCACCUGAUGGACUUGAUCAGUUUGUAGUUAAGGGCUUGUAUCUCCAUCUCUCAAGUCAUUUAGUCAUUUGCCUCCUUUUACAUUGGUUAUCUCUACUUGAAGCAGACACUAGAUUUAUGCAAUAUAGAAGAAUAAAUGCUUGGCCCAUACCUGAAAGAAGACACAUGUUUUUGUAGUAGCCCCUGACUAUACCAUCCUAUAAGUCUUUUUCUGAUCUAAUAUUACUUUUUGUGUCUAUGUCAAUAACACUCUUAUGCUCUUGAUCAAAGUAACAAAAAAGCCCCACAUGAAAGCCACACACAGGUUGCACCAUAAAUGACAGGGUUGUAGUUUAUUAAUUUGACAGACUAUCAUCUAGACAGGGCGCAAGUUUGUAAUUAGAGGUUCUGCAGUGCAAGUCUCUGUUAACAGCAGAACAUCAACAUGCACAUGGCUAUACAUGCAGUGUUGCAGUAACUGAGGAAAAAGGAUGCAAAAGUCAUCUGUGAGGAUGCUGGUGGAGGCAGCCAGAAGGAAAAAUACCAUUUGUUUCUGCAGCUGUGAGGUUGCUCAGUCAUCAGCACAUUUUCAUUCUCUGAAAACACAGAAAUGAUUGCUUUCAAAUCCAAGUGCCUCUCUGACUCUUAAACAGAGUGUUCUGCACAAUCUGAUGCUAUGGAUGAUGCAUGGAUGCAGAAAUCCACUGAUGUGAUUUGAAUGUCUUUGAUGUAACUGUGAAUGGCAGGACCAGUUAACAGAAAUUAACUGCAUGUGUUUUUAAAUAGAGAGCUGAAACUUUGGGAAAACUUUUGCAAAAUACUUGUAUGCUUUACAUGCAAAAUUAUUUCUGAAAUUUAUUGACAUUUUAAUGAUUUAAAAUAAUUUCACUUAAAGGAGAAUAUUGAACAGCAGACAUAGAAAAAAACCCAUUUGUCACCAUGCUAAAAUUCAUUAACUUGAUGGAGUGCUACAAUCUGGACAACAUCAAAUUAUUGUAAUUAACAUUUGAUGUGACGUAAUCAGGCAGGAAAAACUGAGCCUCUUGUUUGCCAAUUUUUCUGCAUUUUUAUUCAUUUCUCCCAGUGGCUGAGACCCUCCAGCUCCUGUGAAUGGCCACUGUGACUGAACCUCCCCCCAGAUAUGAUUACGCAAUAAUUUAAAGUUAUAUAAAAGCCAAGAGGAUUGCCCAAACUGCUACAAUUCUGCACCAAUAUAUAUGAGUGGAGAUCCACAGUCUCUUGCUGCUGACCCCCUUGUGUUUGAUGGGGCAGGAAGAUGAGCCAUGUGAAAUACCUUUCCCCCUGCCUGACUUCUGCACAAUUGCUCUGCUGUAAGCAGUAAAAGGGGAGGUCAUCUGAAACCAGACCUUGUGGUGUGUGACUGUGGAUUAGCAGCUUUCCUUGGGGUGUUGUAAAGGAACUGAACCCUGCAGUGCUGGGCAGUGUGGGCAUCUGGACUCUCCUCAUGCCCAGUGGCUGUAACAGAUCCUCUGGGUAAUGAACAGACAUUUCAAACCCAUUCACUGUGAAAACAUAUGGAGUGAGGUGUAAUAUUUUGCACAAAGCAAAAUAUUUCAGUUUUUCAAUACACUAAAAUUUCAAUACACUAAAAUUUGUGUGUAUUGUUGGAGUGCUGCUGAGAGCAUAUGGUUUUUCUUGGUGACAGGGGGACAUCUUGCCUUUUGCCAUGAACAUGUGAGGAAGUUAUUUCUUGCUUUCUUUUUCCGAGUAGGUUUUGCUGAGCCAAACCAUCCUGAAAAGCUGAAUAGUGCAACAGGAAAUUACAGGAAAGGGAUUUUACUGAUCCUUGAAAACAUCUCAGUGUUCUUGGAACUGCAUGUUUUGUCAGACUUGCUCAGAUCCUUAGCAGAGGAAAGGGUAGGCAGUAAGAUUAGGGUAUUCACAAGGCUCUCAGCAGCUUCUGUCAAAAUAAACAUUGUUUUGUCAACAAAGCAAGCUAUAAUGCCUAUGUAUUGUAUAGAAGCAUCACUAUAUUUUCCUGGCAUAUUGCAACAGCUGUGGGAUUAGAGAAGAGUGCAAUCAUUUAAUCACAUGUGUGCGAGUUACAAUGAAUAGGUUUUGUUUUCAAAAAAAGCCUCAGUGAUUUUUGGAUCUAAAUUUACUUCUCUAGUGGCUUAGGUAAUAGAAUGAUAGAAUCAUUGGGGUUGGAAAGUACCUCCAAAAUCAUCAAGUCUAACCUUUGACCAAACACCACCUUGUCAACUAAACCAUGGCACUCAGUGCCACAUCCAAUAGUUUCUUCAACACUUCCGGAGACUUCACCACCUCCCUGGGCAGUCCAUUCCAAUCCUUAACAACCAUUUCUGGAAGUAAAUUCCUCCUGAAUUCCAACCUGAACCUCCCCUGGCACAGCUUGAAGCUGUGUCCUCUCACCCUGGUUGCCUGGGAGAAGAACCCUCACCUUGCUAAAACAUCCUUUUAGCUGGUUGUAAAGAGUGAUAAGGUUUCCCCUGAGCCUCUCUUCUCCAGGCUAAACAGCCUCAGCUCCCUAAGCUGCUCCUCAUAUGAAUUACUCUCUAGAUCCUUAAAAGAAAUGUGAGGUUUCACUAGAAGUCAGUGGUACUUAGGCUCUAAAGCUACUUACAUGCAUUUGAAGCUAUAUUCAGUGAUUUGACAAGCAAUUUAUGGAUAAACUAUUAUUUCUAAGCUAAACAGAAUUUCAGGCUAAUUUUAAGAUUAUUCUUAAGUGUCCCUAAAUCUAAUAAGAUAGAUAAGUUUAUCAUUGCACCUAUAAUUAUCCUAAUGUAUUUACAUGCCUUUUUGACACCUGUUUUAGGCUGUUUGCAGUGUUCUUAAUAAAAAGUUAGAUAUGAUCUACGUACUGUCAGAACGACUCCACACCAUGCACACCUCUGUAUAUAUAUACACACACCAAUCCAUUUCACUAACUGCUUUUACUGUUGCGUAAAAAAGCUUCUUUACUUUCUAGAAAUGGAAUCUGUUCUCAUUCUUCACGGGAAUGACUACCUCUCCCUCCUAGAUAAAUGGUGGAACUGGUAACCCAGAGCUUGCUUGGGAUGUGGAUAUCUGUUAAAGGCCUUCCUUUAAAUCAGGUAUGUAAAAAGAUUUCUCACAGCCCUGGGUAAUGCUUUAUCAUGGGGACUUUCUCAGGAUCUUGUUCAAGGGACAGGAACACAAUUUUGAUCAGUUCCCUGAUAACUAGCUCAGAUUUCUGGUUUCCCAGGUUCGGACCCUACUUGUUAUUUUACCAUCUGCAGAAAUUACUUGGGAAAACUUAGAGUUUAAUGUUUUAGAAUAUAAUAAUAUAUAUAAAGCAAGAUGGAGGUUUUAGGGUGGAGGCUGGUUCUUCUUCUUUACCUUCGUUUUCACCUUCCUCUUCAUGGAUUUGGGUUGUAUUGUGUAAUUGGAUAAAAAAGUCUGCAUUGCAGGCAUGGGUGGUUGGUUAUUGGGUUAAAAGUAAAAAUAAUUUCGGUGUCAUUUCUCAGUUGGAGAGUUUAUCCUUAAAAGAUCUUGUAGAGAGAGACACAUCUCCAUUUUUACCUUGUUAAAGUACUGUAGAACUCACAGCUUGUGAGACUGUAAUAUGGAUAAGAACUAAUAAACAUCUGAGUCCAAACAAGAAAUACCAUCUUGUGAUUUAAUCCCAACCUUGACAGCAAAGAAGCAAAGAAUCCAUUACUUUUCCACUUACAAAACGUCAUCCCAGAAUGUACUGGGACUGCAAGACUUCAUGGACUGAUAGAUCCCCAAACCAGUGGAAAAACUGCUUCUUAGACCGAAGGACAACCUGUAGGGGAAUAGAAUAUAAGAAAAUAAAGAUAGUGCAGAAAGUGAUCACACCCUAUGGAGUUGCAGCUGGGCCAAUUAUCAAACAUUAGGAGCAGGCCUGACCUUAACAGGCCACAGCUGUAACCAGUGAGAAGAAGAGUAAUAUAAAAGAGCAAGUAGGUUGGUUGAGAAGGGAGUUGGAGUCUCUUGUCUCCUUUGUGAAGAAGGAAGAGUCAGUGCUCUGGGGAGCAGCUCACAAGAAACAGCAAGAAGGUGAGAAACUCUUGUGAUAAGGAGACAACAGUAUAGAACCCCUGCAAUAAGAUGACAACAAAAACCUUUCUCUCUUUGUCUUGAUUUUGGGUGAGGACCUGAUUUGAGAUCUGCCUCCUAUGGAAAUAUACCCACAACAAAACUCCUGAAUAUAUUGCAGUGGGCCUCUCAGUCUCUUCUACAACAGCCCCACACACUGCAACAGCUGUAAGACGUUGCCAGAGGUUGUGCUCGGAGUGUGCUUCCCAUCCUGUCACUUACCCACAAUGUUCAACUCCACUCUGAACUCCAGGACCUCCUUUGGGUGUUCAUAUACAAGAGCUACAGCCUCUGUGUGCGAAGGACUUGGAUUUCUAAAAGCAUAACCCUAAAGGAUCCAAAAGGACAGAGAAAAUAGGACUUCUAAUGCAAGAGGCAGAAUGAAGAAUACUCAGAACCUCUCUGUACUUAAAGAAGGUGAUGCCAUAUGAUAGUUUCACUGCACUGAACAUCCUUUUUGCCUGAAAAACUAGUUUCACUGCACUGAACAUCCUUUUUGCCUGAAAAACUANUAGUUUCACUGCACUGAACAUCCUUUUUGCCUGAAAAACUAGUUUCACUGCACUGAACAUCCUUUUUGCCUGAAAAACUAAUUUUGUUAGAAGUUUAACUGGAAAUGACUUCUCUCUGGUAUCUUAAUUUCCUUGCAUUAAUUGGAAGCUGCUAUGUGGAAUUAUGUGUGUUAAUGUAUUUGGGGCCUUUAUUGCAGAUGCUCUGUGCUUAACUUGCAUGAGGAGUGGGCAAUUUCUCUUGCACUUUUUCUGAAUUCCUUUGGUGAAAACACUAGAAAUUUUGAUAGUACUUGACAGGCCUGGAAUAAAUGCAAUAAAAAUCAGCUCUUUAGUUUUAUAUUAUUGCUGAGUUUUUAGAUUCUAUAGUUCUUUCAGAAAACUUGGAAAGACCCACCCCCCCAAAACACCUCAACCCCCCUUCUAUUAAUUUCUUAUCCGUGAGUAAAUGGCUUCUGAUUUCAGUGUCAUGAGGCAACAAACUCUAGCAGGCUCAAGAGAAGUGUCACAGUGAACUUGCAUCUAGAUGUGAUCAGUGAUUUUCUCUUGUAGCUGAUGACCCUUUCUUUUUCCCCUCUAUGAAAAGACCAAAUCAGAAGAGGGUUACAGGGAGUACAGAGGCUAUUUGCAAUACUUCUUUCCUCCUUUUUCUUCUUCUUGUUCAUGACUUCUACAUCCUAAAUAGGUUUUUAAAGGUAUCCUCAGCACUUUGUCCUCUGAAUCAUGCAGGCACCAGUGGAAAAAUGCAAGUAUCUGUUACAUACUUUAAGGUGUGAUGUGGGAAAAUGUUGCAACUUUUUAAAAGGUUGCUGUUUCAGAGCAGUAAGGGAAAUAUAGUUCAAAAUAUCUUAGGCAUUUUAUAGAAUCAUAAAAUACAUUGAAAGCUAUGCCUAAAAUUUACUGAUUAACAAUAUUGUUUUUGUCACACAUGAAUACUUAAGGUAGAGAAAUGUAAUACAAAAUCAUCUGUGUAAAAAUGCUGUGCCACAUGCCUUAUGUGUUUAUAAUGCUUUUAAAUACACAAUAAAUAUUGUUAUUUAAAAUGGGAUUGUUUUAUCAAGGCCUUAAGGAUUUUAGCUGUGAUUUUCUUUGGCCUGGGGUUUGCUCUGGGCAGCCAUUUCGAGCAGAAGAGCCAUGUGCAACUUUUCAGGUUAUUUUGUAUUGAGUUUGCAGUAAACUGGAGCCUGCUGCAAAAGCCUCUAGGGAAGAGUUGCACAACCUUACUGUUUUAAGUCUUCCUUCUAUUUUAUCAUCUAAUAUUCACCUACUAGAAUGCUUUCUGCUCUACUGGCUCAGAGCAAGGGCACCAAGUUAACGUUAUUGCAACUUUUGGGGCUUGCUGGGCACCAGAUGAAUUAGCUGUGUGGGGAGAAAAAAUUUCAGAGACAUUUUGCAUGGCUUCACAAAGAACAUGCACAUUUAGCCUGCAAUUCUAUUGGUUCAAAUAGUAGGUAUUUGCCUUGUUCUAUUUUCCAAGCCUGUUUACAGCAAGGAUUCUGCCUCAGAGCAGCUGCCUUGUGGUUGCCACUUGACACCAUGCUGACAUCAGGUAUUUUUCUUUUUGAACAUUCUCUAACUUUUCCAGCCUGAGAAGUAAGCAGCCUGCCAAUCAGGCUUUGAUGGUAUCAAGAGGGCAUUGUGGAAAACUUGAUUGCUUGCUCUCUAUUGUUCACCCUCAUCCCUUUCCCCAGAAUUUUCUAUUUUUGGUGGAAUAAAACCUUUUUUUUGACCUUA